UAGGGAAUCUUCCGCAAUGGACGCAAGUCUGACGGAGCAACGCCGCGUGAGUGAAGAAGGAUUUCGGUUCGUAAAACUCUGUUGUUAGAGAAGAACAGCGCAUAGAGUAACUGUUAUGCGUGUGACGGUAUCUAACCAGAAAGCCACGGCUAACUACGUGCCAGCAGCCGCGGUAAUACGUAGGUGGCAAGCGUUGUCCGGAUUUAUUGGGCGUAAAGCGAGCGCAGGCGGUCAAUUAAGUCUGAUGUGAAAGCCCCCGGCUCAACCGGGGAGGGUCAUUGGCAUCUGGUUGACUUGAGUGCAGAAGAGGAGAGUGGAAUUCCAUGUGUAGCGGUGAAAUGCGUAGAUAUAUGGAGGAACACCAGUGGCGAAGGCGACUCUCUGGUCUGUAACUGACGCUGAGGCUCGAAAGCGUGGGUAGCAAACAGG
rnacentral:rRNA from 1 species